AUGAACACUCUACCUCACCAAGCUCAGCUCCUCUUUCAGACCAGCAUAAUGUCAAAAACAGGAGGGAGGCUGUGCUCAGCUUUAUAUGUUUUGCUUCCAGAAUCAUAGCUAUAGACUUGUAAAUGCAUUUAGAGCUCAUCUAGUUCAACAUUUUCAUUUUAUUUGACACCCUGAGAGUUUGAGUAAUUUGACCAAGAUCAGAAGUCGGUUUUGAACUCAGAUUCCUGGAAAAAUCAGAAUCAGGAUCAGGAGAAGGCAACUAAAACAAUUGAGAGGGCUGCAGAUCUCUUGCUACAUGCAGAUGUAAUAGAUGUUUAGCAUAGAGGAGAGAAAACUUGGGGAAAAGGGGGCCAAGCUGAGGAGGAAGAAGGAAGGAAGGAAGAAAGAAGGAAGAAAGGAAGGAAGGAAGGAAGGAAGGAAGGAAGGAAGGAAGGAAGGAAGGAAGGAACGAACGAACGAACGAACGAACGAACGAAGGAACGAAGGAGUUAAAGAAACUUUCCUAACCAUUAAUUAUCCAAAAGUAGAAUGGGACACAUUGAGAGAGAGGAUAUAGGUUUCUCCUGCCAGGAGGCUUCAACCAAAGAUUCCUGAAAGCUGGAAGUGACCUUAGAGGUUGCUAGUUCAACAUCAUUAUUCAUAUUGACAUGAAACUAGAUUAUCCUGUGGGUCCUGGGAAGAUCGUGCAGGUGAGGGGGAACUAGGUGGCUCAAUGGAUAGAAAUCCAGGCUUAGAGAGGGGAGAUUAUGGGUUUAAAUCUGGCUUUCUAUAUUUCUUAUUUGUGUGAUCCUGUUCAAGUCACUUAACCUCAAUUGUCUAGCCCUUAGGGCUUUUCUGCCUUGGAAAAAUACACAGCAUUGAUUCUAAGACAGCAGGUAAGGGUGUAAAAAACAUACUUGGAGUUAGAAGCACUCUGUGGGCAUAUACCCCAACAAAGUACAUUACAUUUACCAAAGCAAAGAGAAAAUACAAAAAAAGGGAUUAAAUGACAAGAAAACAUGUCCCUCCCCAUGCCCAUAAGGUCAUUCUCCCACCAGUUACCACAGCACCAAUGAGGAGAAUUCACAUGUGCAGAGAAUAUGUGUGAUCACAGAAAAGGAAUGAACCCAUUUCCAGGAUGUAUAUCUAACUAAGGAAAAGGAGUGCAGAAAUGCAUAUACAGUAUGACUAUGGUGGCCAGGAC
rnacentral:lncRNA from 1 species